UUUUAUUCCCUACCAACGGAAGUGGGGUGAGUGAUGGCUGUCAAUCAACCCUAUGCUCUUCCCAAACUUUGUUUAGAAACAUCAUUAAAUGCUGAGAUGGAGCUGGGGAACAGCAUUCUAACAUGGUGUGAAGGUCCUUGCUGUAUAGAAUGUAUUGAUAAGAAAAUAGAAGUCUAGUUGUGUGUGUGUGUGUGUGUGUGUGUGUGUGUGUGUAUGAGAGAGAGAGAGAGAGAGAGAGAGAGAGCAUGUGUUGAGAAGUAAAUGGAAGUUUACUCUUGAUAUUGAAUAUGAUAUUCUCAAUAUUGAAUUCAUAAUAAACACAUCUCAUACUAAACUCAGUGAUGUGUCAAAACUGUAUUUUCUUCUCUCAUCCUUAAGGUAUGACCAUGGAGGAGAGUGCAGGAUUAAACCAGGACCCAGAAAAUAUGCCUGUGAGCUCACACUGGACCCAAACACAGCACACAGACAUCUCUCUCUCUCUGAGGGGAACAGAAAGGUGACAUGUGGGCAGCAGCAGCCAUAUCCUGACCACCCAGAGAGAUUUGACUCCUACCGUCAGGUGCUGUGUAGAGAGGGUCUGUCUGGACACCACCCAGAGAGAUGUGACAGUCUGGGUCAGAGUCUAGUCAGCACGGGUCAGUCUGGACGCUACUACUGGGAGGCUGAGUGGGGUCAUCUGGAUGAGGUAGCAGUGGCCUAUAAGAGCAUGGAGAGGAAAGGGGGUGGGGACAGCAGCAGGUUUGGAGGUAAUGCCAAGUCCUGGAUGCUGUACUGCUCUGGUAACAGUUACUCUGCCUUGCACAAUAAGAAGAAGACUGCCAUACCUGCCCCCUCCUCCCGCUCCAGCAGAGUAGGCGUGUACCUGGACUGGCCAGCAGGCACUCUGUCCUUCUACAGCGUCUCCUCUAACACACUCACCCACCUGCACACGUUCCACUCCACAUUCACUGAGCCCCUCUAUCCUGGGUUUAUUGUCUGGAUUAACUCCUCAGUGUCCUUGUGCCAGAUCACAUGACCUUCUAAUCCUGCAGGAGAGGAGAGCCACACACUCCUGUUCAUCCUGUGUGUGUGUGUGUGUGUGUGUGUUGUGUUGUGUUGUGUUGUGUUGUGUUGUGUUGUGUUGUGUUGUGUUGUGGUGUGGUGUGGUGUGGUGUGGUGUGGUGUGGUGUGGUGUGGUGUGGUGUUGUGGUGUUGUGGUGGUGUUGUUGUGUUGUUGUGUUGUUGUGUGUGUUGUGUGUGUUGGAGAAUAUAUAUAUAUGUGUGUGUGAGAAAGAGUAUGUGUAUCAGAUGCUGUGUUGAAUUUCUUACAAUUUAAACUUGAACUUUGUAUACUGUAUGUGUUCUGAAGAUUAAAAGAUGAACAUACAGGUUUUCUCAGGGCUGGGAGUGUUAAUCCACCAUUACUUUACAUAUACUGUAUAUUCUGAUAUGCUCGAGAGUGAGAGGGAGGGAAGGGGAGUCCUUUUAUUUGAAUAAUACAUUUGGUAUGUAAUUAAUUGGUUAAAAUGUAUUUGUGACCCUGUAAAGCGGAACCAGUCGUUUCGGUCAAAUUAAUUAAAUUAAGUUAUUGUGCUCACGUGAACGGCCAUAAACUAAGCUUUCCAACGAUAUGUAUAUCGAGGGUAUUACACAAACUAUCGCUAAGAUAACAGCAUCCAAAGUUGACAUGGUUCUCCUGUCACGAUAUGCCAGAAGAGGAGAAAUCACCUUUUUAAGCGGCGCGUGCACAACAGGAAUGACAGCAAAUGUGUUGAAUCUUCGCCGGGUUUAACAGUCAAAACAUAUGUUUUUCCGUGAAAUGCGUUCACGAUAUGACACUGUAGACUGUAUACAGUCGAAUUAGGCGAAAACGUGAAAUUCAACAUUUUAACCCGGAAGUUUGUUAUUGUUGAUUUUCUCAAAAUAACGUUGUGCGCAAAACGACUGAUUUCGCUAUGAAUGGUCACAUUUGGUGUGACGUGUAUAUAACAAAAAUGUAAAAUGUAUGUGACAAAUAAAAACACUUGAACUUGAACUUGAACAAAGGGGAACAGAAUGUAAUUCAUAGGAAAAUGAAAUACAAAUAAAGAAAUUAAAUUAAAA